AAAAUGAGGUGAUUCAUCUUGGACACGGUCAUUCUUGUACGGAUAUUGUUGACCUCUAUUUGCAUGGGGAGAAAAUCAGGAUCUCAAGACUGCCUCUAUCAAAGAAUUCUGCGUAAACAAGGUAAUGACUUUUUUUGUACAUCGUUUUUCUAGUUUACUUGUUCGAUUUUUCUCUAGUUUUUUUUAGUUGUCAAUUUUUUUAUGUUUCAUUUCCUGCACAUACCUAAUGUAUGUUCUUCAGAUAAUUUCGCAGUUUCAGCCAUUGUUGUCAUAAAGUAUUUUUUGUGUUAAUUGAGGUCCAAGUCAUUACCAAAUAGCAAUUCCACUCUCAGAUUCACGCAGGUUCCUUUCAAAAUUCAAACCGUAGUUGGAUUUCAAUAUGUUGUGUAGUUUCUUUUCCUAUAUGAUUCACAAUUCCUUUCCUAUAUGUUUCGUAGUUUCAUAUUAUGCUCACAUAUAUUCAUUUACGUUUUUCACCACUGAAGGAUUCGAAUGUUAUGGAAUAACAUACUUUGGAAUAACAAUUAAUGGAUUUCAUCUUUUUUGAGGGUAGAAGGUGAUCAAUCAAGCCUUCUUCUUUUCACCUCUUUUUGUCUUUUUUUUUUUUAUUUUGAUAAGUUCCAUGAGACAUAAGUAAACUUGAAUUUUGAAUCUUCAGCCAGAUUAAUAGUGAUUAUUUUUAACCAACUUGAUCUCCAGUCUCUAUUUUAACAUUUAACAAUAUUUUCUUUUGAAUUUCGAACAUAAGUAUAUAAAUACUCUAACUAUAAAGUAUGAUGAAGAAGACGGUUGUUUAAUAGAUUGCGCAUGGGUUGAUUAAGGAACGAUUUGUGUUUAAAUUGUUUAUCAUUUUUGGUUGAAUGUAAUUUGGGUGUCUUGCAGUUUUGACAUUGUUUUAAAAUGGCAAUAUAAAAGAGCGUCUCGAUAAGUCGAUAGGGAUGAAACCCCGAUAUUAUGGGAUAUAAGUUGUGAAAAAAUGGAAAAGAUAGGAAAGAAAAUCGAAGCAUCUAUAUAUGGCAACUGAAGUGCCCAAUUUAACUACUCAAAACCGCAGUGGAACGAGAAGAGAAGAAGAAUAAACAUUGUCUAACUUCUCCAAAUUCCAAUUCAUUUCUAAAAACUUGUCGAUUGGAUUUGAAUUGGGAUUUGUCAGAUUUGACGAUAAAACAAACAAACCAUUAAGUUUCCUAGUUUAUAUAAUAACGUCGAUUUCGAAGAUAAGCAGUUUAGGAAUUUGGAUGAUGGGAUGUUUUCCCUGUUUCACAUCCGGUGUGAAAAAAGAGAUUGUAAGUUUAGAACACACAGUUUCAUGGCCAGCAGACCAAAAUUUCAGGGAUGGAAUGAAAUCGCUUGUCGAAAGCAUGUCAUUCAAAUCUGGUAUACAAUGAAUAUUUGAUCAAUCCUUGGAAAAAAAAGAGUGAUGAAUGAUGAUGUCAUGACUUUGGUCAUGUGAAUGCAGAUGCCGCUAGACACAAAGCUAUAACCGAGGAGUUAUUAAAGAUGGGAAAUGGACAGAAUUUACCCACAGUGUACAAAUUCUCUGACUUAGCAGAUGCAACCAAUAACUUCAAUUCAGACAGCUUGUUAGGGGAAGGAGGAUUUGGAAGGGUAUACAGAGGUCGUCUGAAAAGCACAAAUCAAGUGAUUACUGAAAACUCCCCCUGUUCCUCCUUCAUCUCGGAUGUUUGAGUUUUCUUAAAAUGGAAAUUCAUGAAAUGGGAAAUUCAUUUUGUUUUUCUUCAGGAAAUUGCAGUUAAGAAAUUAGAUAGGAACGGGUUACAGGGAAGCAGAGAGUUUCUUGUUGAAAUGAUGAUGCUCAGUUUUCUUAACCACCCUUUUCUCGUCAACUUGCUGGGAUACUGUGCUGAUGGAGACCAAAGAAUACUUGUAUACGACUACAUGUCUCAUGGUUCUUUAGAAGAUCAUCUUCUUGGUAACACUGCAUUGUUGAUUUAGUUGAUUGAAAAUGAUGGAUGGAUAUUGGAUGGAUGAUUCGAGACAAUUUUUUUAUAGAUUUACCGUCAGAUAAGAAGCCAUUGAAUUGGGCCACAAGGAUGAGGAUAGCUGAAGGUGCUGCUAAAGGGUUGGAAUACCUGCACAAUGUAGCAAAACCUCCAGUUAUUUACCGUGAUUUCAAGGCUUCAAACAUACUCCUAGAUGACGAAUACAAUCCAAAACUCUCAGACUUUGGAUUAGCAAAACAAGGUCCCAUGGGAGAUAAAACCCAUGUCUCCACUAGAGUCAUGGGCACAUAUGGUUACUGUGCUCCAGAGUAUGCAAUGACUGGCAAGUUAACAACAAUGUCGGAUGUUUACAGCUUCGGUGUGGUUUUUCUUGAACUUAUUACGGGAAGAAGGGCCAUCGACACUGCAAAACCACCCAGUCAACAAAAUCUUGUUCAAUGGGUAAACAAAUUAGCAAAUAAUCAAUAUAUGUAUGUAUGUAUUAUGAAUGGAUGUGUAUUCAAAUUCCAAAUUUGAAAUUUCAGGCAGAGCCCUUGUUCAAGGAUAAGAGGUUAUUUGUGAAAAUGGUAGAUCCAUUACUUGAAGACAAUUUUCCAAUGAAGGGCUUGUUUCAAGCCUUGGCCGUGGCUGCAAUGUGCCUUCAAGAGGAAGCGACGACACGCCCAUUGAUGAGUGAUGUUGUCACUGCAUUAGAAUAUCUUACCGUUCCAGAUAACACAAACAGUGACUACUUAGAUCAACUUCUUAAUGAAGACAGUUCUGAAUCUUGAGGGAUACAUCACUUGAUCACAAACGAUUCACUUCUUUGAACGAUGGAGAGGUAGGAAGCAAGGGCAAUGGUCCGAUGGAUAAGCUGGAUCAAGAACCUUACCAAUGGAUCAAUGAUGUAUUCCUCAGAAUUUCAGAUGUGAUGGCAGCCCCGAAUCCGAACUGAAUGUGUUUAAAUUAGAAUUCUAUUAACAAAUAAAAGGGAUAAAAAUAAAAUCUGGUGCCUUGAAAUAUAAAUAACCCAAAGCAACGGAAAAUAAUUUCAUAUACUGACUCAAAUUGUAAAAUAAAUUUAAAUGUUUCUCACAAGUAAAUAUAAAUGCUCUUUUGAACUGCAUGUUUACUCACUUUACUGGUUCAAAUUUCAGGUGAAUGUACCAACAAAGUAAGGAAGACAUGUCAUUAAGACAUUAACACUUAACAGUGAAAAAAAAAUACACUUACAUUUUCAGAACAAUGCAUUUACACUCUAUGUAGCCACCAAGAAACUAAAUUCCAUCUUCAUUGGGUGAUUUCGUGACUAGAAUUUUAUAUUUUUGUAAAUGAUAAUGAAUCAAGG
rnacentral:lncRNA from 1 species